rfam:Ciona savignyi cont_33191, whole genome shotgun sequence.
GCUUAUCACCAUUCCAGAUUGAAUAUACCCGAUCUCCUCUGAUCUCGGAAGUCAAGCAAUCUCGGGCUUGGUUAGUACUUGGAUGGGUGGAACGCUUGGGAAUACCAAGUGUGAUAUGCA